CUGGAGGAAUACCGGUGGCGAAGGCGGCCCCCUGGACGAAGACUGACGCUCAGGUGCGAAAGCGUGGGGAGCAAACAGGAUUAGAUACCCUGGUAGUCCACGCCGUAAACGAUGUCGACUUGGAGGUUGUGCCCUUGAGGCGUGGCUUCCGGAGCUAACGCGUUAAGUCGACCGCCUGGGGAGUACGGCCGCAAGGUUAAAACUCAAAUGAAUUGACGGGGGCCCGCACAAGCGGUGGAGCAUGUGGUUUAAUUCGAUGCAACGCGAAGAACCUUACCUGGUCUUGACAUCCACGGAAGUUUUCAGAGAUGGAAUGGUGCCUUCGGGAACCGUGAGACAGGUGCUGCAUGGCUGUCGUCAGCUCGUGUUGUGAAAUGUUGGGUUAAGUCCCGCAACGAGCGCAACCCUUAUCCUUUGUUGCCAGCGGUCCGGCCGGGAACUCAAAGGAGACUGCCAGUGAUAAACUGGAGGAAGGUGGGGAUGACGUCAAGUCAUCAUGGCCCUUACGACCAGGGCUACACACGUGCUACAAUGGCGCAUACAAAGAGAAGCGACCUCGCGAGAGCAAGCGGACCUCAUAAAGUGCGUCGUAGUCCGGAUUGGAGUCUGCAACUCGACUCCAUGAAGUCGGAAUCGCUAGUAAUCGUGGAUCAGAAUGCCACGGUGAAUACGUUCCCGGGCCUUGUACACACCGCCCGUCACACCAUGGGAGUGGGUUGCAAAAGAAGUAGGUAGCUUAACCUUCGGGAGGGCGCUUACCACUUUGUGAUUCAUGACUGGGGUGAAGUCGUAACAAGGUAACCGUAGGGGAACCUGCGGUUGGAUCACCUCCUUACCUUAAAGAAGC
rnacentral:rRNA from 1 species